CGCCCGCGUAUGAGCGGCGGGCGAGGCGUUCCGGAGAAAGCAUUUUACCACCCGAAGGGCUUCUUCCUUCACGCCGGAUUGCUGGAUCAGGGUUGCCCCCAUUGUCCAAAAUUCCCCACUGCUGCCUCCCGUAGG
rnacentral:rRNA from 1 species